rnacentral:lncRNA from 1 species
GGAGAACUUUCUAGAGAAGCGGUUAAACGGGUUGAGGCUCUUGGACUGAGGGACUCCAAGUGGCGAGCCUCCCAAGUCCGGGCCUGCCUCGUGGCCGGCCCUGCUCACCCAGGCCCACAGCGGAAUAGCUGGAGACAGGCAGUCAGAUGUGAAGUGGCAAAGAUCGGCCUCCCGUGAUUGUGCCACAGAUGCCCAUGGUUCCAGGCGUGGGCACCUGAGCAGUGUGGGAAAGAGAGGUCGAGGGAUUGAAAGUGUGGGCCCCGUAGGGACAGUUUCAGCCCAGGUGCACAGAUCGGACACAACUUUGCCCUCCCUGCAGCCUGGCAGGCCCACCGCAAAAAUGCCAUGAGCAGAUUUAUAAGAGCCAUAGACUUGUAAGUGGAGGUGAAUAGGAAGGAAGGUUUUCUCAACCUGCUCGCUGCUCCUAUGAGAUGCCUGUGGAGUUCUGAGUCUGUGUGGCUAAAACCAUGAAGUUCUGAUUACCGGAACAGUGCUGGCUUGAUGGAAGAUCUGUCUGGAGAGGUCCUGACUCUGCCCAGCAGUUUAGUACCCAGUUAUACAGCCUGGUCCUGGAUCGCAUACUGUGGAGACAGGGAAGCAAACACAGAGGCCAGUCCAGCUUGUCAGACUCGAGAGAGAAUGUCACACCAAAACAGCAGAGGACCUGGUUCCGUCUUGUCUAGAUUACAUUUCCCCACACUGUGAGAUCACCACUGGCAGUUUGGGCUUAUUGUUGGGGCCUGUGGGAACAUUCUCGAUCUUCCUCAUCACUAGAAGUCCGUCAAUGAUUUUUCCAAACACUACAUGCUUUCCAUCCAGCCAAUCACACUUAGAACACGUGAUAAAGAACUGGCAGCCAUUUGUACUGGGACCACUAUUUGCCAUGGAAAGCAGGCCUGGAGCAGAGUGUCUAAGUUUAAAAUUUUCAUCCGCAAAUGGACCCCGGUAAAUACUGGCGACUCCAGUGCCAUCGCCAUUAACAAAAUCUCCACCCUGAAUCAUGAAAUCCUUUAUGACUCUGUGGAAGGUGCUUCCUUUGUAUCCUAUUGGAACGCCAUCUUUUCUGAACUCUCCGGUGCAGAAUUGCCUAAAGUUCUCUGCCGUCUUAGGCACCACGACUGCAAAGAGCUCGAUCUUCAUGCGACCAACUUCCUGGCCGCCAAUGCUGACAUCGAAGAAGACCACUGGAUGGACUGGACUUGAAUUUGCCACUGCCAUGGCUUUGACCCGGAAAUCGGAAGACAUACUUUUAAUCUGGGCCACACCUUCUGUAGGAAGCCUAUAUAAGGACAAUGGGAGGAGGAAGUUUUAGUCUUUGGCCUGCUUGCCCUAACCUUGCUAGCACAUCCCUUUCUGCGCUGGCAUUGGAACCUACUUCUUUGGGAUUUCAGCAGAUACAGGAGAUGAGCGGAAACACCCAGGCUCAUGGGACUGAGCAACUAUUGGAUUCUUGGACUUCCCAUUCACAGCUAACCAUUGUUGGAUUAGUUGGACUUGAGUACAGCAUCCCAGAAGCAACAACAAUAUGUCACUCAUUUGACACGCAAGUAUCUGAGUGAUGACCACUGCUGUACUGUCUUCCAUGGGGAGUCUACUUCCAUUCACCGGGACUAGGUGAGGGAGGGAGGAGAAGGAGGAGUCAAGCAGAGUCCAACCCAGUUCUUAAAGGACUUGACCUAGGAGGAGUCACUAUGGGAUCUAGCCUCCCUUCUAACCUUAUAACUGGGAGUUGGAUUUUGAGAUAUUAGGAAAAA